rnacentral:rRNA from 1 species
CUACGUAGGGGGCGAGCGUUGUCCGGAAUGAUUGGGCGUAAAGGGCGCGUAGGCGGCCCGGUAAGUCUGGAGUGAAAGUCCUGUUUUUAAGAUGGGAAUUGCUUUGGAUACUGUCGGGCUUGAGUGCAGGAGAGGUAAGUGGAAUUCCCAGUGUAGCGGUGAAAUGCGUAGAGAUUGGGAGGAACACCAGUGGCGAAGGCGACUUACUGGACUGUAACUGACGCUGAGGCGCGAAAGUGUGGGGAGCAAACAGGAUUAGAUACCCUGGUAGUCCACACUGUAAACGAUGAAUGCUAGGUGUAGGGGGUAUCGACCCCUUCUGUGCCGCAGUCAACACAAUAAGCAUUCCGCCUGGGGAGUACGGCCACAAGGUUGAAACUCAAAGGAAUUGACGGGG